rnacentral:rRNA from 1 species
GUCUCAGUUCGGAUUGUAGUCUGCAACUCGACUACAUGAAGCUGGAAUCGCUAGUAAUCGCAGAUCAGAAUGCUGCGGUGAAUACGUUCCCGGGUCUUGUACACACCGCCCGUCACACCAUGAGAGUCGGGAACACCCGAAGUCCGUAGUCUAACCGCAAGGGGGCGCGGCCGAAGGUGGGUCCGGUAAUUGGGUGAAGUCGUAACAAGGUACC